UUUGCCGUCCCAUUUGCAGACAGAAUAGCUGCAUAGUCACCAUUAGGUGUGAACGCCGUAAGAACAGGUUCCUUUAACUUACCCUUCACCAUCUCAGUUAACCUUCAAACAACAAAGAGGUACCAAAAUCACCUAAAUCGGAUAUUAGACUUUGUCAGUACUAUGUAAAGAUAAUCACUUUUUAGUUAUCAAUCCAAACCAAGAGCCCAAUUGGGUCACUCAAUCAUAAAAUAACAAUAGCAAAUCACUUAAAAGUUCAACUAUUACAAAUUUACAACAAAUUGAUAAAAACCAAUAUAAUAGACCACAGAACUAUAAAAGUUCAAAGAUUUCAACUCAACAUUCCUUGCCAACCACCAUAUAAAAAAGAAAAUGGGAUCCACAUAAAAUAAAGAGUAAAGCUUAUGGUAAUUUAUCAACUUUAACAGCACAUAGAUUACAUAACAAAAAAGGCUCUGUCUAUUUGACAUGGCAAAACUAAAUAACAACACAAAAUGUACACGAGUUCAAAUAUUUUAACAAACUACAUAAAAAUCUCUUUGUUCAGUUAACUACAAAUAUAGAGAUACCAAUAAAAGAUACGCAAAAAGGAAAUCUUCGACGACUUUCACACUGUUUCAGACACAGAAGAAGUCCAGUUGCAUUUUCCGGGCAGUAGAAAUUUUCAACGGUGAAACUCUAAUCCAAGUUGUUUUUGAUAUACAAUACAACAAGGGCAAAGCUUGCUUUGAUUUCGUGGAGCUGCUCAGUUUUGUUGUUUUAGGGUUUCUAUUGUUAAGGGUUUGAGGAUUUUGAUUGUUAAAAAAUGUGUUUAGUUCAACGACUUAAAAACCGGACCUAAGAUCCAAUUCAGAAGUCUCCAGCUCAUGGUUUAGGGCCUGUUUGGAUUGAGCUUACGAAAAAGAGCAUAUGCAAAUAAUUAAGCUUUUAUGUUAAUUCAUAAGAUCUUACUAAUGAAAAUUGUAUAUUCAUAAGUUGUCUUUUCAUUAACUACCUUAACAAACUUAUAAAUAAUACACUAAUACUUAUUUAUGUGCAUAAGCUGCUUUGCAUAAGCUCUAAAAUAAGCCAAUCCAAACAGACCCACGGAUAUGAAAUAAAUAAAAUAAGAAGUAGAGUGCUCAACACCAAGCACCGUUCAACAUUUUCCACAUAUAAUAUUCACAGUCAUAAGCAUCAUUAAAGGCCCUAUUUGGAUAAACAACUUAUUUCCAGCUUAUAACACAAUGAUAAGCUAUUUAUAUAGCAAAAGAUAAAAUAAAGUUAAACUUUUUUGUUGUUUUCAUUAACUAUCCCGGAGAACUUAUGAAAAUAAGCUGAAAAACAGCUUAUGAACAAUGUUGCAAGCUGUUUUCGUAAGUUCUCCCAUAAGCUGAAAUAAGUCAAUCCAAGCAAAUGAGAAACACUUAAUUCAACACUUGAGCACUCACAAACUAGAAGAAAUCAGAAGUGAAAUGAAACUUAAAAAAAAAAACAAAAUCAAAAUUUGAUUAUUUCAAUUGAGGAAUGAAACUUAAUUAACACAUAAACCCUAAACCAGCACGAAAAUGAGCCUAAAGGUUUGGAACAGAGGUUGAAUGGAGGAGUAACAAGGAAGAAAGGGAAAACAAACCUGAAGGUGUAAACUGUGAAGGUGUAAACUGUGUGUGCGGCGGACCGGACAGGGAGUGGCGGCGGGAGAAGAGAAGUGAAGAGUCUCUGUUUUGUUAGAAAAGAAAGAAAACAAACUCGAAGGAGACGAGAGAUACAAGAAUUAGGGGUUUAGGG
rnacentral:lncRNA from 1 species